UACGUAGGGGCCUAGCGUUGUCCGGAUUUAUUGGGCGUAAAGAGCUCGUAGGCGGUCUGUCACGUCGGCUGUGAAAUCCCGAGGCUCAACCUCGGGUCUGCAGUCGAUACGGGCAAACUAGAGUAUUGCAGGGGAGACUGGAAUUCCUGGUGUAGCGGUGAAAUGCGCAGAUAUCAGGAGGAACACCGGUGGCGAAGGCGGGUCUCUGGGCCGAUACUGACGCUGAGGAGCGAAAGCGUGGGGAGCGAACAGG
rnacentral:rRNA from 1 species